GAUCACUGGGCAGCUGUUACAAAGGGAGUGGAUCCAAAAACACCAUGAUCAGAGACCACAUUCAAAGAGCAUUGAAUAAUGUUUUCAUGGGUGUCUCAGGCUGGUCCACCAGAUAGAUGGGCCUGAAAUCUUUACUCUGAAGAGAAGUGCCACAGGCGAUGGGAAAAGAAAUCCAAGCACCAGUGGAGUAUUCCAGGCUGCCAGAGGUCUCUGAGGAGAAGGAAUGAACACAGAGUCCUGUGCCUCUGUACAGUAGGAAAGGAACACGAGGACAAGUUAACACGCUCUGAGGACUGUGCAGUAUUCUUCGUGACUAGAACCACCAGUACAAUACUGAACAGAAGUGGCGAGAGCAACAUUUCUGUCUUAUUCCUGGUCUUAGGGAGAAGAAUUUAAUCUUUCACCAUU